ACAGAAUGACAGGUGGUGCAUGGUUGUCGUCAGCUCGUGUCGUGAGAUGUUGGGUUAAGUCCCGCAACGAGCGCAACCCUUAUUACUAGUUGCCAGCAUUAAGUUGGGCACUCUAGUGAGACUGCCGGUGACAAACCGGAGGAAGGUGGGGACGACGUCAAAUCAUCAUGCCCCUUAUGACCUGGGCUACACACGUGCUACAAUGGAUGGUACAACGAGUCGCGAGACCGCGAGGUUAAGCUAAUCUCUUAAAACCAUUCUCAGUUCGGACUGUAGGCUGCAACUCGCCUACACGAAGUCGGAAUCGCUAGUAAUCGCGAUCAGCAUGCCGCGGUGAAUACGUUCCCGGGCCU
rnacentral:rRNA from 1 species